ACGUGUGUGUGUGUGUGUGUGUGUGUGUGUGUGUGUGUGUGUGUGUGUGUGUGUGUGUGUGUGUGUGUGUGUGUGUGUGUGUGUGUGUGUGUGUGUGUGUGUGUGUGUGUGUGUGUGUGUGUUGCGUCAACGAGGCCAGGCUGCUACUCAAUAGCCCUGCGGCGGUCUCUUCUGUCAGCGCGAAACUGGAGCUGAAAGCAGGACAUGCCAUGUGUUCACACACACUAGUGUAUAACUAGUAGCAUUGGCUCCAAAGUGGGCACAGAGGGACCCUGUGUGCUUUAUUGAAGGUGGAGAAAACCUCUCAGGCCUCACAGACGACCGGUGCAAGGAGUGACGGAGUUGAAGGAGAAGGAGGCCGAAGAGGAGGAGGGAGGGAGUGAGUCAGCGGCGGGCGGGGUCGGUGACAUUCUGCAUCCUGUCCCGGUUGUCUUCGGGUCACUGGCGGAGCUAUGAAAAGUUGAGGUGAGAGCAAAGGGGUGACACCAGGCGAAGAGGAAGAAACGCAAAAGAAACGAAGAAGGAUUUUUUGCAUUUCUUCACCCGUCCGAAGACGUCCCACCAGCCGCCGGGAGCUCUGGCUGGAGGUGUUCCUAGGUGAGAGGGAGAGACAGAGAGGAGGGGAGAGCCAGGUCGCGGUGCGUCCCCCACGACGUGAGCAGCGGCCGGAGCCUCGUUCGACGUCCCGUCAACCUUUAGCCCACCAGAAGACGGGACGGUGUCACACUGCUCUGCCCGGUAGUGCGACCA
rnacentral:lncRNA from 1 species